AUUGAACGCUGGCGGCAGGCCUAACACAUGCAAGUAGAGCGGAGCGGCGGACGGGUGAGUGAUGCAUAGGUAUGAGACUGGUAGUGGGGGAUAACGUACGGAAACGGGAGCUAAUUCCGCAUACUAUAAAGUCAGCAUAGGUGGGAUUAGCUAGUUGGGGGGGUAAGGGCAUACCAAGGCGACGAUCCGUAACUGGUCUGAGAGGAUGAUCAGUCACACUGGAACUGAGACACGGUCCAGACUCCUACGGGAGGCAGCAGUGGGGAAUAUUGGACAAUGGGCGAAAGCCUGAUCCAGCCAUGCCGCGUGUGUGAAGAAGGUCUUCGGAUUGUAAAGCACUUUAAGUUGGGAGGCGUUACCAACAGAAUAAGCACCGGCUAACUUCGUGCCAGCAGCCGCGGUAAUAC
rnacentral:rRNA from 1 species